CAACAACGGAUCUCUUGGCUCUCGCAUCGAUGAAGAACGCAGCGAAAUGCGAUAAGUAAUGUGAAUUGCAGAAUUCAGUGAAUCAUCGAAUCUUUGAACGCACCUUGCGCCUCUUGGUAUUCCGAGGGGCACGCCUGUUUGAGUAUCGUGAAAUUCUCAACCCCAAUGCCUUUUGGUUUUUGGGCUUGGACUUUGGAGGUCUUUGCUGGUUCCCCCUUUGCUUUGGGGAUCGGCUCCUCUUGAAUGCAUUAGUGGAGCUUUCAUCGUCUGCUCUGCCUCUCGGUGUGAUAAUUCAUCUGCGCCGACGUGAGAGAAGAAAGGAAAGUGCCGCUUCGAACCGUCUCGUUUCGAGAC
rnacentral:misc_RNA from 1 species